rnacentral:rRNA from 1 species
AGAGUUUGAUCAUGGCUCAGGAUGAACGCUAGCGGCAGGCUUAAUACAUGCAAGUUGCACGGGAAUUCGGGUAGUAAUAUCUGGAUGAGAGUGGCGCACGGGUGCGUAACGCGUAUGCAACCUACCCUUUACAGGAGGAUAGCUUUCGGAAACGGAAAUUAAUACUCCAUACAAUCUGUUUGACACCUGUCAAGCAGAUAAAAGUUCCGGCGGUAAAGGAUGGGCAUGCGUGACAUUAGCUAGUUGGUAAGGUAACGGCUUACCAAGGCGACGAUGUCUAGGGGUUCUGAGAGGAUGAUCCCCCACACUGGUACUGAGACACGGACCAGACUCCUACGGGAGGCAGCAGUAAGGAAUAUUGGUCAAUGGGCGAGAGCCUGAACCAGCCAUGCCGCGUGCAGGAAGAAGGCCUUAUGGGUUGUAAACUGCUUUUGUCAGGGAAUAAAUCUAUGUACGAGUACGUAGUUGAAGGUACCUGAUGAAUAAGCAUCGGCUAACUCCGUGCCAGCAGCCGCGGUAAUACGGAGGAUGCAAGCGUUAUCCGGAUUCAUUGGGUUUAAAGGGUGCGCAGGCGGAUAUAUAAGUCAGUGGUGAAAUGCAACAGCUUAACUGUUGAGCUGCCAUUGAUACUGUAGGUCUAGAGUGUAAUUGGGGUAAGCGGAAUAUGUCAUGUAGCGGUGAAAUGCUUAGAUAUGACAUAGAACACCGAUCGCGAAGGCAGCUUACCAAGCUACAACUGACGCUCAUGCACGAAAGCGUGGGGAUCAAACAGGAUUAGAUACCCUGGUAGUCCACGCUGUAAACGAUGAUUACUAGCUGUUGGCGAUAUACAGUCAGUGGCGUAGCGAAAGCGUUAAGUAAUCCACCUGGGGAGUACGUUCGCAAGUAUGAAACUCAAAGGAAUUGACGGGGGCCCGCACAAGCGGAGGAGCAUGUGGUUUAAUUCGAUGGUACGCGAGGAACCUUACCUAGACUUGAACGCAUUAGGAAUAGAUUAGAAAUAGUUUAGCCAGCAAUGGCCUAUUGCGAGGUGCUGCAUGGUUGUCGUCAGCUCGUGCCGUGAGGUGUUAGGUUAAGUCCUGCAACGAGCGCAACCCCUACUUUUAGUUGCCAUCAGGUCAAGCUGGGCACUCUAGAAGAACUGCCUACGCAAGUAGAGAGGAAGGUGGGGAUGACGUCAAAUCAGCACGGCCCUUACGUCUAGGGCUACACACGUGCUACAAUGGCCGGUACAGAGGGCAGCUACUGGGUGACCAGAUGCGAAUCUCGAAAGCCGGUCUCAGUUCGGAUCGGAGUCUGCAACCCGACUCCGUGAAGUUGGAUUCGCUAGUAAUCGCGUAUCAGCCAUGACGCGGUGAAUACGUUCCCGGGCCUUGUACACACCGCCCGUCAAGCCAUGGGAGCUGGGGGGACCUGAAGUCCGUAACCGCGAGGAGCGGCCUAGGGUAAAAUCAGUGACUGGGGCUAAGUCGUAACAAGGUAGCCGUA